CCCUUAGAUGUUCUGGGCCGCACGCGUGCUACACUGAGCGGGCCAACGGGUGAGGAUGUGCGAAAGCGCUUCCCAAUCUCUAAAUCCGCUCGUGCUGGGGAUCGAGGCUUGCAAUUAUCCCUCUUGAACGAGGAAUACCUUGUAAGCACGGGUCAUCAUCCCGUGCUGAAUAUGUCCCUGCCCUUUGUACACACCGCCCGUCGCUCCUACCGAUUGAGUGUUCCGGUGAGGCUUUGGGAGAAUGGCCUCAACAUGAGUUUAUCGUGUUUUGCCGUUUGAACUUAGUCAAACCUUAUCACUUAGAGGAAGGAGAAGUCGUAACA
rnacentral:rRNA from 1 species